rnacentral:lncRNA from 1 species
AAUGCGCGGUGCAAGCUAAUGUAUAUUUAAAAAUUAUAUUGUAUAUAUUGUUGCAAGAAUAAAAGAAUACUUUCCGUCAAAACGGCCGCCGUAAGUUGAACCCACAGGAACUAAUUUGUUAAAACGUUUCUCCUGGGGAUACCAACACGUGUCAGGGGUGGCUGUCCCUUUCCAAUUACUUUGACAGCUUGAAAUCUUCAAAGGUUGCCAAA